GUAAAUUCUAUGAAGAGAAAAAGUAAUCUAUUUUAUUGUCCCACAGAGAGUUGGCAUUUUGCUGAAAGCCAAUGUUCAAAGAAUAGUUGAAAAUCAUCUCUGAGAAGCAAAGCUGAAGGUUAUUUAGUAAGCGAUGUAGGUAGUCCACCUUUAAAAGGAACACGUAUUGUAAUGUACGUUGAUGAGUGUUAUGAAUUAAUUGUUAUAUAUUAAUUUAUGGAACUAGGGUGGUAGCGCGAGUAUAACUCGUCCCUUAU
rnacentral:ncRNA from 1 species